AGGGCUGAGGUGUGGCUCUGAUGAACUUGUGGACAGAGAUUUAAAACAGGUGGGAAAUAAGUUCUCUUUUUUGACCUAGACCUCAUUGUUCAGUGUGGGUUUUGAUAAACAUAGAAAGGAAUAUG